rnacentral:snoRNA from 13 species
UGCCUCAUUCUAGAUUAGAAUGGGCACUGUUGAUUGGUGUCCAAAACUGGUCAAUGUGGCUGAAAUUGUCACAGGUCAUGCUUCCAUCACAGUAAAUGUUUACAGUAGUGACAAAGAGACCUGUAACAUCU